UUGCUCGGUCCCUCACCAAGAUGUCCACCCGCCUCGCCCGUGUGGCGUUAAAGCUUUGUCGAGCGGCUCGUUACUGGCCGGUCUGCUGAAGCGAACAUAAGGCUGACGCUUUGCGCACGGUGAGUGGUCGACGCCGUUGUCAAUCAACAGCAAACUUGGUCGUGGGUGGGAACUUCGGGGCGACGGAAAUCCUGUACCAGAAGUAGCCCGCAUUCAUGAACGACCUUGCCUUGAUUUUACGCGAUAAACUCCAACAUUGAAAGUUAAUUGACAAUAUGGUGACCAAGGUAAAGCGGAGCAAACUCUAUAUCGGUACGUAAGUCACAUCAACAUUGAGCCGUGCUGGCGUCAAUGGGGCUUCCAGCCUUUUUCCAGUCGUACAGCAGGGGGUAGCAUACUUUAGUCGCCACGUCAAAAAUCGGUAGUACAAGACGACCAAUCAAGUUUGGACAAGGUUUCUUAUUUCAUUAUUUUCGUCACAUAAAAAUGGUGUCCAAAUUGUUGCGCCGAUUUCCCACGUAGUGGUACUUACAUUUGAAUUAGUUUCAUGAGCAAACUUCAAAUUCAAACCUAAUUUUUUUUACUCAUUGAUUUUCAGCAAUCACGUUUUUUGUUGCAGUUCUAAUAGAUAAAGCAUUGUAAAAUAUGUGAACGUAAAAAACGUGAAUGAUAGGAAAUAUUUUUGUAUUGGUUACCCUUUGAGUUAAAAGAGGGCGUCGGUUAGAGUGGCGUCAGGACCCCGUGCUCGGCCUGUUAUUUUGCAUUUGUCUCUUAAAUAAACGACUGAAAAGACAUCGGCGACCGGCUCUCAACAGCUCCUCAACAGUUGUUUUCCUCACUUCCGUUGAGCGUAUCUUAAUUUUUCCUGUAAUUUCUAUUUGGGCUUGUGACACAAAGCAACAAAAAUAAACCGAGCUCCUCAAUUAAAACAAAAGUGUACACUGAUAUAUUUAAAAAAAUAUUUUUCUGAAUUAUUACAUGUUCUGAGGGACGACAUCAGAGCAGCUUGGGAGUGUUGCGAUUCGAGCACUUCAUUUCAUUGCAAGUUGUAAUGAAUCGAUGCGAAACGUCACGUGGAAGGGGAGGGGCAGACAGAAACAGAUAUACUUUUUUUCCUGAGCUGAAAAAUGGAAAAAGUGGAGCAAUGUGAAGGGUGAAAAGACGAGGAGGAGGAGGAGAAGAAAAGUACUGCAGAGAGGCAAGCCCGAAAGCCCGGAGCGAAUCUCGACUAUUAACUGGCCCUGGACUGGCCAGCAAAUAGCAACUACAACGUGACUUCAGUGACACCAUUUAAGGUUUGGACCAUGGCAACAAUAGUCCAAAUCAGGGCCCAAAGACGCACCUUGGUUUGUCCUUCUGGAAAGCGCCCGAUCGGAACACUUUAGUGGCGGAAACUCCAAGUGCAAAGAACCUUUUGUGUGUUUUGACUGCGCCUUUAGUUAACGCUGAUAAACAACAGCGCCUUCUUCUGGCACUUGAGAGGUCUAGAAACUUGGUGCAGCACGGACGAUUUUUGACUAGCAAUUGCAGAAAUAUUUCAGCAUUUCUGGAGCUUCAGGCGUGAAGAUGGACAGAUGGUCUUGGUGUGAGUCUGUACAAAGGUUUUGGCUUGACUUUCAUCAAUGGGCUUGUUUGUUACUCUUACGAUGUCUGAUGAAAAAUGUUUUUUUCAUAACGGUAAAUUUGAUUUUUUAUUAUUUUGUUGGCCAAACAAUAUAUACACAAAUCCCACCUCCUUAAAGCAAAAUCAAACAUUCUGCAUUGGAAGAAUGAUCUGAAAUCCUACAACAUUUUGUUAAAACUUAUUAACACCAAGAAUGCUGUAAAACUGACCUCAUUUAUUGAGAGGCUGUUUCUGUAAGAUGCUUGCUCUGGGUGUAUACUCUUAGGAUAUAAGAUGCAGUUGCCCUGUAAUGUGGUUUUUUUCUCUCCUGGUAUUGUGGAUGUCUUAUUUUGUUUUUGUCUGUUUGUAGUUGUAGAUGUUAUUAUACCUAAUGUGUU